rnacentral:rRNA from 1 species
CAGCCGCCACGGUAAUACGUAGGUGGCAAGCGUUGUCCGGAAUUAUUGGGCGUAAAGGGCUCGCAGGCGGUUUCUUAAGUCUGAUGUGAAAGCCCCCGGCUCAACCGGGGAGGGUCAUUGGAACCUGGGAAACUUGAGUGCAGAAGAGGAGAGUGGAAUUCCACGUGUAGCGGUGAAAUGCGUAGAGAUGUGGAGGAACACCAGUGGCGAAGGCGACUCUCUGGUCUGUAACUGACGCUGAGGAGCGGAAGCGUGGGGAGCGAACAGGAUUAGAUACCCGUGUAGUCCCUGUCUCUUAUAC